UACUUUUCAUCAUUUAUUUUGAAGUAAAUAACUACAAUUUUUGUAUACAGGCACAUCAACCUCUGAAUGUUCUGCAUGAUUUGGCUGGGAGAAAUAUGCCAGAUAGAGUAAUUGGACUGGUCACUCUGUUCACCAACAAGUUGUCUCAACGUCAGAUCGGAAUCAGUGCUGGACUUAUGACCAUCACGAAGGACACUAUCCUAACGAUCAUCGGUACCCUCCUCACCUACGUUUUCAUUGUGAUCCAGUUUAAACCGGAAUCAAGUGAUGGAUGUCGACUGGGUGGAAACGCCACGGCAAUAUAGUUGGACCGACUAAUACUUGACUUUGAACCUUUCGUUAUUCAGUGAGAUAGUUAUUUCGUGUCACAUUGGCUGUUUUUAAGCUAAUUGUGAAUAAAGCAAGUUAUACAUUGAUAAUACAUGUGUAGACCAUACAACCCGUCCAGCGGGAAAAUUAACAGUUAAAAAUAAAAGGAGUGCUACGAUUAUAACCACUUGGAAUUAUAAAUACUUUGAAUGUAACGGGACUUACGUACCUUCUUUUGUUAUAGCCACUAAGAAUCUUAAUUAUGUAUUCAGUCAUCUAAAUUAAUACAUUUUACUUACUUUUUACAAUAUAUAUACUUAGCAAAAUUUAUCAAUUGA
rnacentral:misc_RNA from 1 species